rnacentral:rRNA from 1 species
UGAGUAACCUGCCCUUGACUCUGGGAUAAGCCUGGGAAACCGGGUCUAAUACCGGAUAUGACCUUCCGCCGCAUGGCGGGGGGUGGAAAGCUUUAGUGCGGUUUUGGAUGGACUCGCGGCCUAUCAGCUUGUUGGUGAGGUAAUGGCUCACCAAGGCGACGACGGGUAGCCGGCCUGAGAGGGUGACCGGCCACACUGGGACUGAGACACGGCCCAGACCUCCGUACGGGAGGCAG